UGACUAUCACAUGAUACUGACUCUCAGAAUACUCCUCUGUAUGUUAUGCUUUAUAAUCUCUACUGCAUUCACUCAGUAAAAACACAGUUUGGACAAAUUGUUUGUGAAAAAUGAAUUUGAUUAUUUAUAACUAUCAGAAUAAAUGGCUAUUUUGGUGAACUCAGAUUUUAAUUCUCAACUGUAUUGCCCACUGUAGUAUAAUUAUUAACACCCUCUCAGUCCUGAUUCACUGACGUGGAGUCUUUCCUGCUCUCUGAAAAAGAUUUAAAGGUGUCACUAAUCAGGCUCAGUGGAAACGGAAACCUUAAACAAGGAGACUCGUUAAAUCUGACGUGUGAUGUGAACUGCACACACAGUUCCUCACAGUUUGUGUGGUCUAAGAACAAUGAGCGGUUAAACACAUCAGGACCUGUUCUUCACUUUCCUGCUCUAACCGUGAGGGAUUCUGGGAAUUACACCUGCACUUGGAAAACCAACAAGACGUCAAGAUCUGAAACGAUCAGCCUUCAGGUCGAGGGAGAAAAUCAGUGGAAAAUCUGGAUCAUUGUUUUGGUGAUAGUCGGAGUGAUUUUUAUUUUAGUGACUGGAGCUGUGAUUUACAGGAGGUCUGCCCACACUGAGCAGCAGAAGGAGGACGAUUCUACUAUCUACGCUAAUGUACAGCAGCAGAAGAAUGGUUGUGCUAUCUAUGCUAAUGUACAGCAGCAGAAGAAUGGUUGUCCUAUCUAUGCUAAUGUACAUCUAUAGCUAUCUAUGCAAUAACAACGAGCUGAUCACAGUGUCACACCUCAUUAACUUCAUCCCCUGUGGGCUGAAAAAAAUUGAAAAAUAUAUAGCAUAAGCACUUGCUGUGUAUUGCAUUUGAAUUAAAUUUUAUAAUGUCUUAA